UACGGGGGGAGCAAGCGUUGUUCGGAUUACUGGGCGUAAAGGGCGCGUAGGCGGCCACCGCAAGUCGACUGUGAAAUCUCCGGGCUUAACCCGGAAAGGUCAGCCGAUACUGCGGGGCUAGAGUGCAGAAGGGGCAACUGGAAUUUACGGUGUAGCAGUGAAAUGCGUAGAGAUCGUAAGGAAGACCAGUGGCGAAGGCGAGUCUCUGGACAGUUACUGACGCUGAGGCACGAAGGCCAGGGGAGCAAACGGG
rnacentral:rRNA from 1 species